AACGAACGCUGGCGGCAUGCCUAACACAUGCAAGUCGAACGAAGCCUUCGGGCUUAGUGGCGCACGGGUGCGUAACGCGUGGGAAUCUGCCCUUGGGUUCGGAAUAACAGUUAGAAAUGACUGCUAAUACCGAAUGAUGUCUUCGGACCAAAGAUUUAUCGCCCAAGGAUGAGCCCGCGUCGGAUUAGCUAGUUGGUGAGGUAAAGGCUCACCAAGGCGACGAUCCGUAGCUGGUCUGAGAGGAUGAUCAGCCACACUGGGACUGAGACGCGGCCCAGACUCCUACGGGAGGCAGCAGUGGGGAAUAUUGGACAAUGGGCGAAAGCCUGAUCCAGCAAUGCCGCGUGAGUGAUGAAGGCCUUAGGGUUGUAAAGCUCUUUUACCCGGGAUGAUAAUGACAGUACCGGGAGAAUAAGCCCCGGCUAACUCCGUGCCAGCAGCCGCGGUAAU
rnacentral:rRNA from 1 species